rnacentral:lncRNA from 1 species
UUAGGGUUAUACUUUGUCGUUCGUCGUUAAUUUGAUGGAUGUUUAAGUAUAGCACUUUGUCGUUCGUUGUGAGAAUUUGAUGUCGUGAGUUAUCGUAAUUGUUGUAUUAAGUUACCUACCUAGUUCGUGUGCCCUAGGUUACAAGGCUAAAUCAAUAGGCUAAGCUUUGCCUGUAUAAAUCUGCAAUAUAUCAAGGCUUAUCUGUAGACUAAACUUUGGCCGUAUGAAUCUGCAUGAUUAUAAUGUAAUUACAGUAGAUUGGAGUAAGGAUUGGAUCCGGCACUAAAAGACUUCAAGAAGUGGCUUAUUUUAUUAAUUAAAUCAAAUUAAGAAAUAUUGUUUUAUGUAAAUCAAAUUUAUCUUUAUUAAAGCUACCAUUAUAAAACAUGGGUUUAUCCCAUCUAUUUAAUAAAUA